UACGAAGGGGGCUAGCGUUGUUCGGAAUUACUGGGCGUAAAGCGUGCGUAGGCGGUUCGUUAAGUUCGUUGUGAAAGCCCCGGGCUCAACCUGGGAAUGGCAAUGGAAACUGGCGGGCUGGAGUAUGGCGAGAGGGGGUGGGAAUUCCAGGUGUAGCAGUGGAAAUGACGUAGAUAUCUGGAGGAACACCGAUGGCGAAGGCAGCCCCCUGGGCUAACACUGACGCUGAUGCACGAAG
rnacentral:rRNA from 1 species